CACUUUGAGAUGUCUUCAGAAGUGAUGGGUAGACUUCUUCAAAGGCAGUUUCACAGAUACAUCCCAAUUUAGAAAUGGUGACAAUUUUCCAGAUUGCAAAUUCUCCGUUCCACAUUCGUCUUGAAGAGAGCUGGCUGGAAGACUCCAAAGUGGAGCCAGGGAAUGAAGUAAAAACUAUGUGGACAACCAGAAGGUUCAAUACUCAACUGAGACUGCUGGUCCUCUUUUCCUAAGCAGUAAAGGGAGCCUUGAAGGUGGCCAGGGUCAUCACAGCAGACUGAAAACUGAUUUGAAGCCUCAGAG